rnacentral:misc_RNA from 1 species
UGGCUCUCGCAUCGAUGAAGAACGCAGCGAAAUGCGAUAAGUAAUGUGAAUUGCAGAAUUCAGUGAAUCAUCGAAUCUUUGAACGCACCUUGCACUCCUUGGUAUUCCGAGGAGUAUGCCUGUUUGAGUGUCAUUAAAUUCUCAAACCCCCCUUCUGAUUGAUUUCGGAAAGUAGGUUUGGAUUGGUGAGGGUUGCUGGUUCUCGUUUAAUCAGCUCCUUUUAAAUGCAUUAGUAGUUUGGCCUAUUGUCCACAUUCUCAAUUGAUGUGAUAGACUUAUCAACAUUAUUAGAGAAUGAAUCUGCUUACAACUCUUGUUAGUCUUAAACGACUUACUGUUUUGACAAUUUGACCUCAAAUCAGGUAGGACUACCCGCUGA